UACGUAGGGGGCAAGCGUUGUCCGGAAUCAUUGGGCGUAAAGAGCGUGUAGGCGGCUCGGUAAGUCCGCUGUGAAAGUCCAGGGCUCAACCCUGGAAUGCCGGUGGAAACUGUCGAGCUAGAGUCCGGAAGAGGCGAGUGGAAUUCCUGGUGUAGCGGUGAAAUGCGCAGAUAUCAGGAGGAACACCAAUGGCGAAGGCAGCUCGCUGGGACGGUACUGACGCUGAGGCACGAAAGUGUGGGGAUCAAACAGG
rnacentral:rRNA from 1 species